UGGACGUGGACGUGGACGUGGACGUGGACGUGGACGUGUGGACGUGGACGUAAGAACAUCAAGAGCCAUCAUUUCCAAUGAAAUUAGAGCAACAAUCAUAGGCCAUGUUCUAGUUCAUGGAGUGAGUAUGAGGGAAGCAGGACUACGUGUUCAACCAAACAUAAGCAGGUUCUCUGUGGCCUCCAUUGUCAGGACAUUCAGAGAGGAGAACAGAAUUGAAAAACUGCAACAUGCUGGUGGAAGAAGACUUAUGUUCUCACAACAGCAGGAGACCAUUAUUGUCAAUAUGGUCCUUCAAAAUAAUCUCAUUCGUCUGCGUGAAAUACAACAGCGAGUUGAGGAAGACAACGUGAAUUUUGAAGGAAUCAACAGUGUGAGUCUCUCCACAAUUGACCGUGUCCUGAAACGCAACCUGAUAAGUCUCAAACAAGCCUACAGAGUACCAUUUGAGAGAAAUUCUGAAAGGGUAAAAGAGCUAUUAUAUCAAUAUGUACAAACCGUUUCAACUGGAUUCCAUGGAGAGGCCUCAUGAGUGCAUCUUCUUGGAUGAAGCUGGCUUCAAUCUCACCAAGAGGAGAAGGAGAGGCCGCAACAUUAUUGGUCAACGUGCCAUUGUAGCGUUGCAAGGGCAGCGUUGCAAGGGCAGCGUUGCAAUGGGAGCGUUGCAAGGGCAGCGUGGUGGCAACAUGACCAUAUGUGCUGCUGUCAGCAGCUACGGGGUUAUUCACCACCAUGUAACUCUAGGGCCUUACAACACUGCCCAUCUUAUAAAGUUUCUGUAUGCUCUACAGGAAGCGCUACUGAGACGUGAACAGAGAGGUGAUGAGCAGGCAGAGCAUCCCAUGUAUGUGGUAAUCUGGGACAAUGUGAACUUUUCCAAUGUGAAUUCGUGAGUGGUUUGAAAAUAACCCACGUUUUAUAAACGUGUGCCUCCCACCAUACUCUCCCUUCCUUAAUCCCAUUGAAGAAUUUUUUUCUGCAUGGAGGUGGAAGGUCUAUGACAGAAAUCCUUAUGCACAGGAAAAUCUCAUUCAGUCAAUGGAUGCAGCAUGUGACAACAUUGGAGUGUAAGCGAUUCAAGGUUGGAUUCGGCAUGCUAAAGGAUUCUUUCCCCGUUGUUAAGCAAGGGACAAGAUUGCCUGUGACUUCAAUGAGGUCCUGUGGCCUGACCAUGCCCAAAGGCAUGAUGCUGAGGCAGAAUGACUCCAAGACAUUGCUUGUUAUCGAUCUGCUGCAUAUUUUGUUUGACUACAUUUGUGUGCAGGAUUGUGAAAGUACUU